UCCAGCGAUGGACCGGGCAGGCCCUGGGGAAGACGGGCCGGGCCGCUCAGCUCUUCCUCGUGCACGACCUGCAGCACUGCUGGCCGUAGAAUUUGUGGUUGCAGACGCCAUGCUGGGGCACCAGGUGACACCAACUGAAGAAAUCCACACAGGAUGGAUCCUCUGCAAGGAAAAUACAGCAAGGACAUUAGCCUGGUUCUCCAGCCUUUUUUUUAAGCUGCUCGAGUAAGAUGACCCAUUGGAAGCAGAUUCUUACAGAGAAGGGCCUCAGGAGACAUGACACUGUUCUUGCAAAUAAUCAACACAGGAGCCUGGUUCCAUCUUGAACUAUGCCAGCAUCUCUUCAUGGCCACCACUGCUCCAGUGGCACCUCAUCCAUUGCUCAGGGACGGCAGCAGCCGCUUCUCGACAGAGCAGAAACCCACCACUGUCCACAAAUUGUGUGCAAGCCUCAGCUACAACAACUGAACAUUGAUGACCUCAGCCCAG